UACCAGCACCCCGAGUGGUCGGGACGUUUAUUGGGCCUAAAGCAUCCGUAGCCGGUUCUACAAGUCUUCCGUUAAAUCCAGCUGCUUAACAGAUGGGCUGCGGAAGAUACGUAUGGAGCUAGGAGGCGGGAGAGGCAAGCGGUACUCGAUGGGUAGGGGUAAAAUCCGUUGAUCCAUUGAAGACCACCAGUGGCGAAGGCGGCUUGCCAGAACGCGCUCGACGGUGAGGGAUGAAAGCCGGGGGACGCAAACCGG
rnacentral:rRNA from 1 species